UACAGAGGUCCCAAGCGUUGUUCGGAUUCACUGGGCGUAAAGGGUGCGUAGGUGGUGAGGUAAGUCGGAUGUGAAAGCUCGGAGCUCAACUCCGAAAUGGCAUUGGAAACUACCUUGCUCGAGGGUUGGAGGGAGGACUGGAAUACUUGGUGUAGCAGUGAAAUGCGUAGAUAUCAAGUGGAACACCAGUGGCGAAGGCGAGUCCCUGGACAACUCCUGACACUGAGGCACGAAAGCUAGGGGAGCAAACAGG
rnacentral:rRNA from 1 species